rnacentral:pre_miRNA from 1 species
UAUGUACUCUUUCCAAUCCAUAUCAAUUGUCGAAAUAUUACAUGUAUCUAGACGAUUUUUAGACAUAGAUACAUCUAUAUUUAGACAAAUUUGAGACAAUUGAUAUGGAUCGGAAGGAGUACUUA